rnacentral:rRNA from 1 species
AUUGAACGCUGGCGGCAGGCCUAACACAUGCAAGUCGAGCGGAUGAAGGGAGCUUGCUCCUGGAUUCAGCGGCGGACGGGUGAGUAAUGCCUAGGAAUCUGCCUGGUAGUGGGGGAUAACGUCCGGAAACGGGCGCUAAUACCGCAUACGUCCUGAGGGAGAAAGUGGGGGAUCUUCGGACCUCACGCUAUCAGAUGAGCCUAGGUCGGAUUGGCUAGCUGGUGGGGUAAGGGCCUACCAAGGCGGCGAUCCGUAACUGGUCUGAGAGGAUGGUCAGUCACACGGGAAGUGAGACAGGGUCCAUAGGACUGCGGGAGGCAGCAGUGGGGAAUGUUGGACAGUGGGGGAAAGCAUUAUACAGCGAUGGCGAGUGUGUGGAGAAGGUCUUCGGAUUGUAAAGCACUUUAAGUUGGGGGGAAGCGCAGUAAGUUAAUACCUUGCUGUUUUGACGUUACCGACAGAAUAAGCACCGGCUAACUACGUG